rnacentral:rRNA from 1 species
UACGGAGGGUGCAAGCGUUAUCCGGAUUCACUGGGUUUAAAGGGUGCGUAGGCGGGUUGGUAAGUCCGUGGUGAAAUCUCCGAGCUUAACUCGGAAACUGCCGUGGAUACUAUCAAUCUUGAAUAUCGUGGAGGUAAGCGGAAUAUGUCAUGUAGCGGUGAAAUGCUUAGAUAUGACAUAGAACACCGAUUGCGAAGGCAGCUGACUACAGGGAUAUUGACACUGAGGCACGAAAGCGUGGGGAUCAAACAGG